rnacentral:miRNA from 1 species
UCAACAGCUGGGUUCCUGAAUG